rnacentral:RNase_P_RNA from 1 species
CUGGGAGGGGCAUGCGAUCGCUUUGCGUAAAAGCAAAGAGGAAAGUCCGGGCUCCGUAGAGCAAGGUGGUCGAUAACGUCGACCAGUCGCAAGACUAGGGAAAGUGCAACAGAAAGCAAACCGCUGAGCUCGCUCAGUAAGGGUGAAACGGUGGGGUAAGAGCCCACCAGAGCCCAGGGCGACCUGGGCUGCUAGGUAAACCCCACCUGGAGCAAGAACAAACAGAACGACAUGUGCCGGCUUGCUGGCUCAUAGAUUGCUGCUCGCAAUCUCGUGCGUUCGGGUUGAUCGCUUGACGCCACAAGCAAUUGUGGCGCUAGAUAAAUGGUCGCAGCGCGAAAGCGAACAGGACCCGGCUUACGAACCUCCCAGGCUU